rnacentral:rRNA from 1 species
CAAGUACCGUGAGGGAAAGUUGCAAAGUACUUUGAAGAGAGAGUUCAAGAGGACGUGAAACCGAUAGGAUGGAAGCAGAUGAAGUUGACGAACGAGUGUCGUAUUCAGGGUUGCAUCUUGUGUGCGGUCUGUUCUUGCGGCCGAUGUGGGCCGGCGGUUUUGGUCAAUGCACUGUGUCAAGCGUCGAUGGAGACCCUGCGGAGGGAUAAUCAGUCGGCGUGCGAUGCGUGGUAUGGCUAAGGCUUCGCCGGUCUUGAAGUCAGCGCCUCAUCUGACCCGUCUUGAAACACGGACCAAGGAGUGUAUCGUUUACGCGAGUCUUAGAGUGUGUCAAAACUUUGAGGCGUAACGAAAGUGAAUGCAGUUUAAUCUGCUGACUUGGGAUGCGUUGUCUCUUGUGGACGGCGCCGGACCAUGGUUAUAUCGCGAUCGCUUGCGAUGCGGUGUAAAUAGAGCGUAAACGGUGCGACCCGAAAGAUGGUGAACUAUGCCUGAGCAGGAUGAAGCCGGAGGAAACUCUGGUGGAAGUCCGAAGCGGUUCUGACGUGCAAAUCGAUC